AGCUAACAGCUGACGGUUGCUUCCGUAAAGAGCUAGUAGGAAAUUGACGAAUCUGGAAAUUGAUCUCGGAGGGUUUCCCCCGUGAACAGCUGAAGCCCGAAAAAUAGCCGUUGACAGCUCGGAGCAUCGGUCAGUUUUUUUUUGUGCUUGUAUGAUACACUUUUGGCCUGGAGGGCCAGAGAUUCCCAGAUCCUCUUCUCCUGAACCUGGAUGGCGAGCCCCAGCCCAGAGGACCAGGCGCACAGGGAAACAGUCCAGUCCUAUCUGAAUUUCUGUGGAAAAGUAUUUUUUGUCCUGGGAAAGUCUGACAGAAGCAAGA